rnacentral:rRNA from 1 species
UGGGGAAUAUUGGACAAUGGGGGCAACCCUGAUCCAGCAAUACCGCGUGUGUGAAGAAGGCCUGCGGGUUGUAAAGCACUUUAGUUGGGGAGGAAGGUAAGAAGUCGAAUAGGCUUUUUAAUUGACGUUACCCAAAGAAUAAGCACCGGCUAACUCUGUGCCAGCAGCCGCGGUAAUACAGAGGGUGCGAGCGUUAAUCGGAAUUACUGGGCGUAAAGGGUGCGUAGGUGGGUUGAUAAGUUAGAUGUGAAAUACCUGGGCUUAACCUGGGAUGGUCAUUUAAUACUGUUGACCUAGAGUAUGGUAGAGGGUAGUGGAAUUUCCGGUGUAGCGGUGAAAUGCGUAGAUAUCGGAAGGAACAUCAAUGGCGAAGGCAGCUACCUGGACUGAUACUGACACUGAGGCACGAAAGCGUGGGUAGCAAACAG